GACGAACGCUGGCGGCGCGCCUAACACAUGCAAGUCGAACGGAGCUUUGAGAGCUUGCUUUUAAAGCUUAGUGGCGAACGGGUGAGUAACGCGUGAGUAACCUGCCCUGGAGUGGGGGACAACAGUUGGAAACGACUGCUAAUACCGCAUAAGCCCACGGCCCGGCAUCGGGUUGAGGGAAAAGGAUUUAUUCGCUUCAGGAUGGACUCGCGUCCAAUUAGCUAGUUGGUGGGGUAACGGCCCACCAAGGCGACGAUUGGUAGCCGGACUGAGAGGUUGAACGGCCACAUUGGGACUGAGACACGGCCCAG
rnacentral:rRNA from 1 species